ACAUACCGGCUGCACGCACAAAAAGAUAACUCCCUCCAGCACCUCAAACGACUUUUUGUGGAAGGGGGAUGUUGAGAGAAGAACAGGCCCCUCCUCGGUGGCGUAAAAGAAGGGAGGAAAAAGAAAAUCGCAACCAUACGGUUACACUCUCAUGGCUGAACUUUAUCUGCAUUUUAAUGGCGGGAUGAGGAGGAGGAGGAGUGUGCGUGUGUGUUGGGGAGCGAGGGGGUAAAGACGGCUAUACGUGCUCCUCCCUAGCGUCAUAUGUCAGCCAUUUGUGCAUCAGAGAACGCUGGCACAGUGCAGUGAAGUGUAGUGGACCGCUUCAACCUCUCAGACAAAAAUGAGGGGAAACAGCGAAAAGAACAGCUGACAAUUGGGACCCAAGAGCACCCCCUCAGUAUCAGCACGUCUAAGCCUGAUGAAGAUAAAACACGACGGGGAUGCGAGGGAGGACGAUAAAGAGUCACAGGACAUCCCGAUCACGUUUGCAGGAAGUCAAAACAACACUCGGUGUGGGAGCAGCUGGUAAGAAUGUUGUUACAGGAAUGUCAAGAGGCAUUGAGCUGUUAUCCGGCCAAAUGUGUUUGAAACAAAGUAGUGUGAAAUCCUUACAUAGUUGGACUUGGUAUCAAGCUAAGCAGAGCUGAAAUAAACAAUUUUCUUCGCUUCAUACACAAACGGCUGAUGACUUUCAGAUGUGCCAGUCACGUUUUGUCUUGAUCAGGAUCAUUUAGACGGGUGGAAAAGAUUUCCUGUCAACGUCCAAUGCCGUUUCUGUCAAAACGUCAGCUAAAACCCAAUGUCCUCUGUUUGACUAUGAUGUUGCCAUCUCCAAAUGAACAGCAGUGCGAGUAUGCACAUACAAUUUCUUUUUAAGUCAACAGUACUCACAAAAGAUAUACCAGGCAGCCAUAAGUCAAAGUGAAAUGCCAAAACAGCACAGUUCCGGACUAAACAUUCCACAGAGGGCUUCCCCCCCCCCUCCCGCCCCAAGGAUAUGCAACACAGAUACGUAAAUGAAAGAGCCUUGCACAAACAGCAUAUGUCUCGCAUAUAUAAGAGCUUGGCGGUAAUGUCACAAAGCGGUUGACCUUUGAGGUCGACAAAAAGCUGAACUACCUCUUCCUGCUAAGUAUUAGCCAGCUGUGUUUCUACUCAGGCAGCAGUUCUUAGAAAACCAAGAUCUCUACCCGCCGCUCUCAAAACACGGCCACAAACAAAGUGACGCAAGAGCGUGACAGCUUGCUUUUAUGCCUGACAUUCCUUUCUGGGCUUUGACCAGCCAAAAUGUCUCCUUUUACACCACUGGAGGGAUGUUUUCAGUCUUGUCUUAACUAUAACUCUAUUAAGCAUACAUACAAACUUUUUACUCUUGAUUUUAAACUGAAGGCUGCUUUUUUGUGUUGCAUAUGAAAAAAACAGGGAUGCUCCAGUUGACAAAAGUUUAGGUCCAAGGAAAAAUGUCUAGACAAAGAGGGCUACAGAAGUCAGUGUACCAAUUGUGUUAGUCCACAUUAAACUCCAUUCAUAUUCAUAUUCUUACAAGCAACAGAUGCUUGCUAACUGUUAGGUCAAUGUUGCCAAUUGAAAUUACGUGUGUCAAAAGGACAAUAACCAUGGCCAAUUGAGUAAAAUGGAAAUCAUGCAUGUAGUUGCACUAUAGUAGCUACUCCUUAAUAUCACACUUGAAUAUAAAGUUUUGAAACAUCCCAAAAAACAAACAAAAAACAAAAAAACAACAACACGAACAAAAAGCCAAUGUAAAGUAAUCAUGGCGAAUUUGAAGUCUGUGGCUAUUUGUUUUGCUAUUGAUGUUGCACUUUCUUUGAAAGAAAAGUUGUAUUGUACACAUUUAAUCUUUAAUUUAUUGGAUAAUUUACUGCUAGCAGAUUACAUUUUAUUAUGUUUUAUUUUAAAUGUCAUUAAAUAUAUUCCUGUUUACAGAAAAAAUGUUAAAUUUCGUCCCAAAUGUGAACUGAGACCUUUUAACCAAGGUACGUAUCACACUAUCAUUUUUGGUGUCCCGUUACAGCCUUAGUUUCCAUGUAGUAGUUCAGAACAAUCUAGUCCAACUCCAAAACGUCCGUCUUGUUGAGAGCAUGGACAGGCCUGAACAGGACCAGACUCUAUGGAGUCUGAGGUGCUAGCUUCAAGAAGGGCUCCUGCGCGUUUAAAAGGCGCUGAGACGACGGACCUUGAGGAAAAGCAGACGUCCCGUACCCUUGGUCAAAGAGGAGCAGUGGACCCUCUUGUUCCAUCAGGAACAACCUAACCGCUUCCAGACCUUCACGCACUGCCUCCUCUCAUUUGUCAUCUACGCUUGUGGCCUGAGAUUGUCACUUAUUUCCUUCUAACUAACUCUCUAUACAACAAUAAACAACAAUCAAGUAAGCCUCAUUACACAUUGAGAGCCAUGAUUAACUGUGUAGUUUCAAAUGCAAUGUCUUUUGUCCUUUUAGGGCCACCAUAUGUUCCCUUCUGUCCGGCUACAUGGAAACAAAUGAGAAUCUGCAGCCACAUCACGUUUGUUGGUCGCAUUGCACAUCACUUUACACACAUGCGUCAUAAAUGGAAAAAUUACAACAAACAGAGAGGAAGCACAUGGCAAAGUCCUCAGAAUUUCGGUCUCCUUAGCCAAAGAUUUCAGGCCACUGUGCUUUUAGGGGGGAAAAAAAUCCAUUUAAUGGUUAGCACAUCUGGCCCACUGUUCUGAAGUUCAGUGUUCAAUAUCUCAGCUCCUGUGUGGAGUUUGCAUGUUCUCCCCUAAACCAUACAUGUUAGGGUAAUUAAAGACCUAAAUCAGGGGUUCUCCAACUGGGGGUCCCCGAGCUGUGGCUUGGGGAUCCGCAAAACAAUUUGCAAUGAAGUAAAACAAACAUAACAAACCAAAUACUCCUCCCUACAUUAACUUCGAGCCAAUUAAAAGCUCUCAUUAUGAUUGUGACGCAUCAUCAUGUAAAUGUAGCAUCCUUGCAUGAAUAAAGUAAUAUUUUUUAAGAACAAAAGGCAUUUUACAAGAAUAAAUUAAAAAAUUUUUUUUGAGAACACACUUUUAUCCAAGAACAUGGAAUAUGGUCCCAUUUUCAGAGAAAAGACCCCCGCCCCCAAAAAAAUUUUUUAAUUACUAAUUCCCGUAACGCUUCGACUUUUUACUCUGACGAAAUAUUGUACGUCUUUGGAUUAGAUUAAAACUUUUGUUCUUGCAAAGAUUAAAACUGUUUUUGUCUAAAAAAUAUGAAUUUGUUAUUCCUACAUUACGACUUUUUCUUUUCUCGAAAGUAGGCAACUUGGUAAUUGCUAUUCUAUUCUAUUUUAUUCCUUUUCUAUUCAAUUUUAUUCCUUUUCCAUUCUAUUCUAGUCUAUUCCAUUCUAAUGAGGACGUGCUAUAGAAAAUCGAUGGCUAUUGCUGCCAGAUUGAAAUGGAAGCCACUAUAGGAAACAAGCAAGAGGAUGCUGAGCAAGAAGGAAACAUGAGCCUGAUGAUGUCACGGGCACUGGAUUCAAGUGGGGUGUGUGUUAGAAAGAGUGUGUGUGUGUGACAGGUUUGAGGCACGUUCUACCCUCAGGCCAAAGUCAAGUAUGUCAACGUUGUGCAUGUGGAUUUCAUUUGGGAUGAGUCCAUCCAUGGGAACGCACCUCACCAGGAAACGGUAUGUUUUUAUUAGAAGCCAGCAGCCCUUAAAUGACUGAAAUUGAUCUUUUCCUGGCCAAUUGAUCCCACGUGGCCCCCCUACAGACACUGACGACUGCUUCCAAAUUCGUUCACACUCACAACAUUCUUCUUUUCUACUGUCUGUGUAAUAAAUAUGCCAACUGUGUUGUGUCUUUUCUUUUGCACAAAUGUGAUUUAAUGUGUGAUGAUAGGGGGAACAACAAGUAUCCCCGAAGCAGUCACGCCCAAUUAAGGUGAUCAAAAAAAAAUAAAUCACUGCAAAAGUGUUGAAGUACAAUCUACAUAAACAUAUCCACCAAGUCCAUCAUUCAUCCCCCAAAGGAGCAAAAAGAAUUGCAGCUGACCGCUGUUCCAUUUGAGUAACAACAGGUAACCACAGUGACAAGGACAAACAAGAUUGCCAUCACGCAAGGUAAGAAUACAUGAAUAUGAUGCUAUGAUGAAGAAACAAGUGGCCUUCUUUAAUAAAAUAAUGUGUUCAAUGAGAUUCUUCCCAGGAAUCACUGUUUGUAUGGUAUGCACUGUUCUAUAGCGUCUUUAUUCAGAUAAAUAUGCAAUUUCUUUUUCCAUUUGUACAUACUAUUGGAUUAUUAGUUGUCUUAGAGGUCUCCUCCACAAAACUAUGAUUAUUAUAAUUCAAUACGCACAGUACACGCAUAUAUAUAUAUAUAUAUAGAGAGAGAGAGAGAGAGAGAGAGAGAGAGAGAGAGAGAGAGAGAGAGAGAGAGAGAGAGAGAGAGAGAGACGACACAGUGGACGACUGGUUAGCACAUCUGCCUCACAGUUCUGAGGACCCGGGUUAAAAUCCGCCCUCGCCUGUGUGGAGUUUGCAUGCUCUCCCCGUGCCUGCGUGGGGUUUCUCCGGUACUCCGGUUUCCUCCCAAAAAAAACAUGCAUGGUAGGUUAAUUGAAGACUAUAAAUUGCCCGUAGGUGUGAAUGCGAAUGGUUGUUUGUUUAUAUGUGCCCUGCGAUUGGCUGGCGACCAGUUCAGAGGGUGUACCCCGCCUCUCGCCCAGAGUCAGCUGGGAUAGGCUCCAGCACGGCCACAACCCUAGUGAGGAUAAGUGGUAUGGAAAAUGGAUAUAUAUAUAUAUAUAUAUAUAUAUACAUAUAUAUAUACACAUACAUAUACAUUUGAAUUUUUCAGUUUGUAUGUGUAUUAUUUUACUAUUUAAUAUUUUAGUUUAAUAAUACAUUAUAAAAAGUAAUAUGAAUGAAUUUAUUAUUAUUAUACCUUAAGAUACAAUAUGAAAUAUUGACAUGUACAUAUUUUUAUUAUUUAAUAUAAGCCAUUAGCGUCAGUAGUAAUAAACAUUCAAAUAGUUUAUUAUUUAAUAUCAUUCAUGAUUUUUAUUGCAUAAAACAGCUGACACUGCACAAAAUAUAUUUUUAUUUUGUAAUGGUUACAGGUAUAGGACAGAAUAUUUUGUCUGUGUUUGUGAAAGUUAUAGUAACCAAUUAAUUGUUAGCAAUUAUCGUUGGCAUUAUAAUCAUCUAUUGUACAUAUUUUUACCAGCAUAAUAAAAAGUGUUUCAAAUA